rnacentral:sRNA from 1 species
GGGUAACGUCCUUCAGGCCGAUCGCUUACGUUAAAGGUUCAUGCCCGGGCAUGAACCUUUUUUUUGCGCUGA